rnacentral:lncRNA from 1 species
CUGGUGACCGCCUUUUGUUAUGACAACACAAGGUACAACAAAAGUUUCUGGGCGUCGCCUGUCGCUUCGCGGCGGCCAAUCGGAUGUCGGACAUAAACUUUGUAAACAACACAGUUGCACGUUGUCACAAAAACACCCGAGUUGCGAAGUGCAGCGGUCGUCCGAGCGGCUGAGGGAGUCCCGGAGCCUGCUGGAGGCCCUCCCUCCCUCCCUCCCUCGGCGGUACACUGGGUGCCGUGCAGAGCAUCCUGUCGGAUUUCCAGGAACUGAGACCGCACCCCAACACAACCGUUUUAUUUCACUUUCCGUUCUCACGGAUUUAAAGACACAGGGCAGGGGUGUGGAGGCUUUGCAGGAGGUGAGAAAAGCAGGUGUUGCGCUUGCGCGCACACACACACCCACACACACACACUGCCUGAAACCGCUUGCCCCAAGCGAGGCUGCAGUGAACCGGAGCCUAACCCGGCACCACAGGGCGCAAGACUGGAGGGGGAGGGGAUACACCCAGGACAGGAUGCCAGUCUGUCGCAAGGCACCCCAAGCAGAACUCGAACCCCAGACCCACCAGAAAGCAGGACCCGGCCAAGCCCGCUGCGUCCCUACGCCCCCUUGCGCUUGCACACUUGAGUCUAAAUAUAGUAAACAAGCCGUAAAGAUAGUUAAGUGUGAGUUCGUGUGUUUUUGCGUUUGCAUUUGGAGGGUUCAAUUUUUCACUGAAGAAGACUCAUAA